UGAGUAACGCGUGGGUAACCUACCCCAAAGUCCGGGAUAACAGCGGGAAACCGCUGCUAAUACCGGAUGCCUUUACCUUGGGGCAUCUUGAGGUAAAGAAAGGCAACGCUUUGGGAUGGGCCCGCGUCCCAUUAGCUAGUUGGUGAGGUAACGGCUCACCAAGGCGACGAUGGGUAGCCGGCCUGAGAGGGUGGACGGCCACACUGGGACUGAGACACGGCCCAGACUCCUACGGGAGGCAGCAGUAGGGAAUAUUGCGCAAUGGACGGAAGUCUGACGCAGCGACGCCGCGUGAGCGAUGAAGGUCUUCGGAUCGUAAAGCUCUGUCCUUGGGGAAGAAGGCGAAAGCUUGACGGUACCCAAGAAGAAAGCCCCGGCUAACUACGUGCCAGCAGCCGCGGUAAUACGUAGGGGGCGAGCGUUGUCCGGAAUUACUGGGCGUAAAGGGUGCGUAGGCGGCCCUUUAAGUCGGAUGUGAA
rnacentral:rRNA from 1 species